rnacentral:rRNA from 1 species
CAGUCGNGCGGUACAGGAAGAAGCUUGCUUUCUUUGCUGACGAGCGGCGGACGGGUGAGUAACGCGUAGGAAUCUGCCUAGUAGUGGGGGACAACAUGUGGAAACGCAUGCUAAUACCGCAUACGCCCUACGGGGGAAAGGAGGGGAUCUUCGGACCUUUCGCUAUUAGAUGAGCCUGCGUAAGAUUAGCUAGUUGGUGGGGUAAAGGCUCACCAAGGCGACGAUCUUUAGCUGGUCUGAGAGGAUGAUCAGCCACACUGGGACUGAGACACGGCCCAGACUCCUACGGGAGGCAGCAGUGGGGAAUAUUGGACAAUGGGCGCAAGCCUGAUCCAGCCAUGCCGCGUGUGUGAAGAAGGCCUUCGGGUUGUAAAGCACUUUCAGAAGUGAGGAAGGGUGACUGGCUAAUAUCCAGUUAUCUUGACGUUAGCUUCAGAAGAAGCACCGGCUAACUCUGUGCCAGCAGCCGCGGUAAUACAGAGGGUGCGAGCGUUAAUCGGAAUUACUGGGCGUAAAGCGCGCGUAGGUGGUUUGUUAAGUCGGAUGUGAAAGCCCAGGGCUCNACCUUGGAAUUGCACCCGAUACUGGCANGCUAGAGUACGGUAGAGGGGUGUGGAAUUUCCUGUGUAGCGGUGAAAUGCGUAGAUAUANNAAGG